GAUGAACGCUGGCGGCGUGCCUAAUACAUGCAAGUCGAGCGAACAGACGAGGAGCUUGCUCCUCUGACGUUAGCGGCGGACGGGUGAGUAACACGUGGAUAACCUACCUAUAAGACUGGGAUAACUUCGGGAAACCGGAGCUAAUACCGGAUAAUAUAUUGAACCGCAUGGUUCAAUAGUGAAAGACGGUUUUGCUGUCACUUAUAGAUGGAUCCGCGCCGCAUUAGCUAGUUGGUAAGGUAACGGCUUACCAGGGCAACGAUGCGUAGCCGACCUGAGAGGGUGAUCGGCCACACUGGAACUGAGACACGGUCCAGACUCCUACGGGGGGCAGCAGUAGGGAAUCUUCCGCAAUGGGCGAAAGCCUGACGGAGCAACGCCGCGUGAGUGAUGAAGGUCUUCGGAUCGUAAAACUCUGUUAUUAGGGAAGAACAAAUGUGUAAGUAACUAUGCACGCCUUGACUGUACCUAAUCAGAAAGCCACGGCUAACUACGUG
rnacentral:rRNA from 1 species